rnacentral:rRNA from 1 species
AUUGAACGCUGGCGGCAGGCCUGACACAUGCAAGUCGAACGGUAGCAGGAGGAAGCUUGCUUCUUUGCUGACGAGUGGCGGACGGGUGAGUAAUGUCUGGGAAACUGCCUGAUGGAGGGGGAUAACUACUGGAAACGGUAGCUAAUACCGCAUAACGUCGCAAGACCAAAGAGGGGGACCUUCGGGCCUCUUGCCACCAGAUGUGCCCAGAUGGGAUUAGCUAGUAGGUGGGGUAACGGCUCACCUAGGCGACGAUCCCUAGCUGGUCUGAGAGGAUGACCAGCCACACUGGAACUGAGACACGGUCCAGACUCCUACGGGAGGCAGCAGUGGGGAAUAUUGCACAAUGGGCGCAAGCCUGAUGCAGCCAUGCCGCGUGUGUGAAGAAGGCCUUCGGGUUGUAAAGCACUUUCAGCGGGGAGGAAGGGGGAAUGGUUAAUAACCAUUGUCAUUGACGUUACCCGCAGAAGAAGCACCGGCUAACUCCGUGCCAGCCGCCGCCGUAA